rnacentral:rRNA from 1 species
CAGCCGCCACGGGAAUACGUAGGGUGCAAGCGUUAAUCGGAAUUACUGGGCGUAAAGCGUGCGCAGGCGGUUCGCUAAGACAGAUGUGAAAUCCCCGGGCUUAACCUGGGAACUGCAUUUGUGACUGGCGGGCUAGAGUAUGGCAGAGGGGGGUGGAAUUCCUGGUGUAGCAGUGAAAUGCGUAGAGAUCAGGAGGAACACCGAUGGCGAAGGCAGCCCCCUGGGCCUGUACUGACGCUCAUGCACGAAAGCGUGGGGAGCAAACAGGAUUAGAUACCCCGGUAGUCCCUGUCUCUUAUAC